rnacentral:rRNA from 1 species
CGUCGAGUGGCGAACGGGUGAGUAAUACUUAGGAAUCUGCCCAAUAGUGGGGGACAACCCGGGGAAACCCGGGCUAAUACCGCAUACGCUCUACGGAGGAAAGCAGGGGAUCUUCGGACCUUGCGCUAUUGGAUGAGCCUAAGUCGGAUUAGCUUGUUGGUGGGGUAAAGGCCUACCAAGGCGACGAUCCGUAGCUGGUCUGAGAGGACGAUCAGCCACACUGGGACUGAGACACGGCCCAG